AUCUUGAGUUUUUUUAUUUUUACUUUGGUUUUUAGGGUGAAAUUGAAGAACUUUUCUAGGUAGGCUCAAGAUUUUAAAAUUUAUUGAACAAGCCAGAUUAGUACCUGGUUAGAUAAAAGUUAAAAGGGCAGAAGUAAAGUUGUGUUUAAACUGUAAGAAUAUUGGCAGGUUAUUAAAUUAUCUUUGGAGGCUGAGUAGUAAUCGAGAGCCCUCGUUUACGACUUUUAGUUUGGGCGCAUGUAUGAUCGUUUAUUUUAUUCUUAAGGAUUGUAAUUUUAGUUUUUUUUUUCUGUAAAAAUAGAUAUAUACUUGGCUUAUUUAAAAAAUUUAAUUUGGCCUACAUUAUAUUAGUAGUUGGAUGGUAUUCGUAGUGAAUACUUGAAAUUGUAAAAGACAGUAAGUUUUUCUUAAUGUAAGACUGAAGUUUAUUUGGUAACGGUACAAAUCAUCCAUCAAUUGCCUAAAGGGGAGUAAG
rnacentral:ncRNA from 1 species